UGUUGCUUCAGUAAGAAUUGCUGUUUCAC
rnacentral:piRNA from 1 species